rnacentral:rRNA from 1 species
UACGAAGGGGGCGAGCGUUGUUCGGAAUCACUGGGCUUAAAGCGUACGUAGGCGGCUAUUCAAGUCAGGAGUGAAAUCCCGGGGCUUAACCCCGGAAUUGCUUUUGAAACUGUGUAGCUGGAGUCCCGGAGAGGUUGGCGGAAUUCCGAGUGUAGAGGUGAAAUUCGCAGAUAUUCGGAGGAACACCAGUGGCGAAGGCGGCCAACUGGACGGGUACUGACGCUGAGGUACGAAAGCGUGGGGAUCAAACAGG